AAUAUGCUGUCAGUCAUAAUUUUGGCUAUGCUAAAUUGUUGUAUUCCACAGAAAUAACUGAAUUUCUUUGUGAGUUGUAUCAUUAUAAUAAUAAUGAACUCUCAUGCUAUUUUUGACCACGGCCAUUCUAAGUCUUUGUCAUCCAGAGUUUUUUGUGAUUUUUGUUUUUGUGUUUUGUUUUUUGAGGUGGAGUUUUGCUCUUGUUGCCCAGGUUGGAGUGAAAUGGCACAAUCUCGGCUUACCACAACCUCCCACUCCCAGGUUCAAGUGAUUCUCCUGCUUCAGCCUCCCAGGCACAGGAACCUCAGGAUAUUCAGGAACCUCAAGAAGAGAGGAAUUCACUCAAAUAUAAGCGUGACAGAUGAAGCCUGAUGAAACAAAGCUAUCCUCAUUAAAGGCCUGAUGGCUCACUCCAUCCAGGAGAUCUCCUCUGCUACCAACUCCUAGCAGCUGAUUCAGUGGUCCUUCAUGAACAAUAGGCAACUGAACAAGAAAAUGAGUUUAUAUUGUUGAAAAGAAAGAAGAAUGCCUCUUUUUUCCCUUGAACAAGGGAGGUGGGGACUAUCAAAAGAUUCUUUGCUUGACCUAACUUUAGUUAGGCUUCUAAGUCUUCUCCUUGGCCCAUCCAUGCACUUCCUUGUGAAAUCCAGUUUUAGCAAAGAACAUUGCUAAGUCACUUUAACAAGAACCCCCCCCAUCCUCAAUAUCUGAUCAGAUCGCUGAGUCUCCGUCAUACCCCAGGUGAUGUCUGAUUACCCUGGCCUGUCUUCAGCAAGAAUUCUGUUAGGUCAGGUCAGCCAGAAUCUCCCUUAACUGUUUC